rnacentral:rRNA from 1 species
UACGGAGGGGGCUAGCGUUGUUCGGAAUUACUGGGCGUAAAGCGCACGUAGGCGGCUUUGUAAGUUAGAGGUGAAAGCCCAGGGCUUAACCCUGGAAUUGCCUUUAAGACUGCAUCGCUAGAAUCGUGGAGAGGUGAGUGGAAUUCCCAGUGUAGAGGUGAAAUUCGUAGAUAUUGGGAAGAACACCGGUGGCGAAGGCGGCUCACUGGCCCGAAACUGACGCUCAUGCACGACAGCGUGGGGAUCAAACAGG